rnacentral:rRNA from 1 species
CCUACGGGGGGCAGCAGUGGGGAAUAUUGGACAAUGGGGGCAACCCUGAUCCAGCCAUGCCGCGUGUGUGAAGAAGGCCCUCGGGUUGUAAAGCACUUUCAGUGAGGAAGAACGCCUGGUGGUUAAUACCCAUCAGGAAAGACAUCACUCACAGAAGAAGCACCGGCUAACUCCGUGCCAGCAGCCGCGGUAAUACGGAGGGUGCGAGCGUUAAUCGGAAUUACUGGGCGUAAAGCGCGCGUAGGUGGCUUGAUAAGCCGGUUGUGAAAGCCCCGGGCUCAACCUGGGAACGGCAUCCGGAACUGUCAAGCUAGAGUGCAGGAGAGGAAGGUAGUAUUCCCGGUGUAGCGGUUAAAUGCGUAGAGAUCGGGAGGAAUACCAGUGGCGAAGGCGGCCUUCUGGACUGACACUGACACUGAGGUGCGAAAGCGUGGGUAGCAAACAGGAUUAGAUACCCUAGUAGUC